rnacentral:lncRNA from 1 species
UAUAGUUUCAAAGCUAUUGAGUACUAACUAGAAAUGCAAAACAUGUAAUAGAUUAUAUAUCCCUAAUCGUUAACUUACGAUUAUCUGUUUCGUUUGCAUCUUACAAUAAAGAUAAUUAAUUAAUCCGUACUCAGUCAAUGAUUUGUAUGCAUGUUCCUCCUCUAAAAGAUGUGUUAAUGGUUGAUGAUCGAAAAGCUAAUAUGCUUGCUGUAGGAAAAAAUUGUGAUGAUGGUUUGAUAGUAGCGUUUACAAAAACAAACUACCAUCCUUUGAUUGCUACCACUGACAGACAAUCUCACACCUCUAUCACCACGAACUCACUGCACAUCGUCACCCAACACUCGCCUGCCGCCAAAAACUCUGAAUACAUUCUAGCUUGUCAACAAUCUCUUUUCUCUAGCAAGCUGCCGAAUCACAUGAACUAAAGAAAGAAAUUUAAUUGUGACUCACGGCACAUUACUGGUAUAUUCCCGACCACUUGCCGGCGAUGUCUUUCCUCUAGCAAGCAGCUAAAUCACAUGAAUGCAUUCACACAAAAUCAUACAAAAUCACGCAAGAUAGAAGCAAUAAUUGACUUUUGCAUGUGAAAAAAAAUCACUAUGUUCAAAGGAUGGUAGAAGCUGCUGAUUGUGAUUUGGGGUUUUUUGGGUUGAUAUUUAAAAUAUCCACGAAUAGACAAGGAGAAGAUGAAAAAAUGACGAAGAAGGGACACCGAGAUGAAAGUAGUGAAAACGGACGAAGAAGAAACGACUGAAGCGGAUGGAGAUGGAGAUGAAAUCAGUGGAAAACAGACUAUAGAAACAGAGUGUUUUGAGAGAUAGGGGAAGGUUGUAGAAUAACACUAUUUGGGCUUCAAGUUGGGCCUCAAAUUGAGGUUUUGGGGAGAGCGUAUUAAUUACGAUUGUAAUAAGUUUUAAUUUGUUUUAAGGUAUAAAUCUAAUUUGUCCACUUUUUCAGAGUACCCAGACUAAUUUCCUCAUUAUUAAUUCUAACUAGAGAAACGAAGCCCAGAGGGAGGCUGCCCCUGUUUGUUUUGGACUAAAAUUCAAUUAAAAUCUCAAUUCAAAGCCAAUAUUAAACCCCCAUUUGUAUUCUUUAAAAAUUUAAAUUGUUUGCUACAUGAUCAUUUUCUAUCACACAUUUACGUAAUAAAAUAUUCUACAUACAAACUAAUAAAGUUUUCAUACUUUCUAAUCAUACAUUUUUCAAAAAAAAUUAUUCAAUAACUCAUUAUUUUCAUAUAAAUUUUAUCAGACAUACUCUAAAUUUUAACAACAAAUUUCAUGCGACCCACAUCUUUUUAAUCAAACAUUAUAAAAAUUUCUUCCAAAAAUCUAAUUUUAAUUCCUGCAAACACAUCUUUUACUUUAAAAUUUACUUUUUGAGCCAAAAAUAAUGCGAUAGGUUCUCUUCAAUUCUCUCCCCACCUCAGUAAACACUCUCUCCGCAUUAAAGAAACAAAUAGCAGCAAAAACCCUCGCCCAUUGUUUUAGUAUCACACUUUCUCUGCAAAAACAACGGGAAAGGUAAAAGCAGGUAAUUGAAACCUACUUUUUUUAAUAUAUCUACUGUAUAGUCAGCUUUAAAAUUUAUUGUAUCUGGGGUUUUGAUUGAGUUGUCAGAUCUAUUGUAUGGCUUGUGAUUUUCAGUUUUUAAAUUUGAUGUCAUCACUCACAUUUAGUUAUAUAUAUGUGUAUGUAUAUAUAAGAUUAAUGUUACGUACUUUACAUUAUACAAGUUUUUAAGCGCAGUUGUUAUCUUUUAAAAAUAAUUUUGUUGUGGUAAUAAAUGCUAGUAUUUUUCUUCUUUUCUAUUUGUAAUUGAAGGAAGAAAACUAUGUUCAUUUUAACAUUUUCACUAUCUUACAUUUCGUAGAUGUUGGAGUGUUAUUGGUUUGAUUAAAUAGCUGAAACACACUAAAAAAAAUCCGAGGAGCAUAACAGUAGAUUAAAAUGUCGUGUGAAUUAGCAUCAAUUUAUAGAGAAAAAGUUUCACUGGACGAUAAUUACGCCAGGUAGAGUUAAUAAAGUCCUUCAUCACUAUUUUGAUUGACAUGUUAUAACCAAUGUACUAAUGGCUUGCGCUAGGCAAGUGAUAUCUAAGGGAAUAUUUUUGCUCUAUUAUCAAGAUAAAAGAGUGAGGCAUUAAAAUUAAUUCCCCAUAAAAUUGACAAACUGGGCGGUUAUGUUGCUGGUCAUCCUGGGUUUAUCCGCUUGGUAAAAUCCCCGUGUUUUAGUUUUUGAGUUAGGAUUUCAUUUUUAAAAUGAGGAACAGUUUGCCAAGAUUAUACGAAGGACCAGAUUCUGGGGUUUUGGUUCAAAUUUUUAGCUGAUGUGGACUGAGACGGAUGUAAGGUGCAGAGGAUAAGGUGAUAAGCUUAAAAACUGGCGUUUCUAUGCUAUUGUAUAACCAGACAUAAUUGUGUCUCGUUGGGUUAGUUCUUGUUUUUUUGGUGUUUGUAAUCGUUGAAUUGGAUGCUGAUAUUUUGCUGCUUUCUAAAUAUUCUUUUUGCAUGGUUCACUUCUUGGCAAAUUUUAGCUUUCAAUGUGGGGAAGUACUUUAAAGUAUAGUCGAAACAUGUGUAGAAUGCUUUAAAAUUCGUUCUUAGGAAUUAUAGAUGAAACUGUACGUGGUGUUUUUCAUGAGGUGCUGCUGGAAAUUUAUAAGGGAAAUCAAAUUUGGAUUUUGUUUAGUUUGGUAAGUAAAAUUAAAGCAAGGGGUUGGGUUGAUUCUUGCUUGGUCUGUAGUGGUUUUGGAGAUGAAGUCAGACCUGUUCCGUGGCUGAGUAUUGUUAGCCCCAAGUUUUCAAUAAGCUCACAACCAAUGAAAAUUGAUGUCUAAACUAAGAUGUAAAUGUCAAAAAAUUUUAUAAACACUCGUUGAUGUAAAAGUGACACACUAUUCAAAAAAGUGACCUAAAUUCAAAAAGUAACAACUUCAAAAAGGAUAUAUAAUCAAUUUGGUCCUACAUUCUUGUCCAUAUUAUUCAUCUCAAUUCCACCAGAAAUCCGAAAUCUAACAAAUAAUCAAUCAGGUAAUUACAUAUUUGUUUUACUGUAUUAUAAUACAUUUAGAGUGUGUUUGAUUGGCAUGAAAAAUAUUACCUAGAAAAAAAAAUAUUUUCCAUCUUUUGUGGAAAAUAAAAACCACCUCUACCCAAGGAAAAUAUUUUCCUUAAAAACAAGGAAAAUUAGGCAUAUUUUCAAAAGUUGAAAAAUGUUUUCCAUGGAAAAAAAUAGCAAUCAAACACUCCAAGUAAAAAUUUGGGUGGAAAAUUGAUAUUUUCUAUGGAAAAUAAAUAUAAUCAAACACACGCUUAUAGUUUCAAAGCUAUUGAGUACUAACUAGAAAUGCAAAACAUGUAAUAGAUUAUAUAUCCCUAAUCGUUAACUUACGAUUAUCUGUUUCGUUUGCAUCUUACAAUAAAGAUAAUUAAUUAAUCCGUACUCAGUCAAUGAUUUGUAUGCAUGUUCCUCCUCUAAAAGAUGUGUUAAUGGUUGAUGAUCGAAAAGCUAAUAUGCUUGCUGUAGGAAAAAAUUGUGAUGAUGGUUUGAUAGUAGCGUUUACAAAAACAAACUACCAUCCUUUGAUUGCUACCACUGACAGACAAUCUCACACCUCUAUCACCACGAACUCACUGCACAUCGUCACCCAACACUCGCCUGCCGCCAAAAACUCUGAAUACAUUCUAGCUUGUCAACAAUCUCUUUUCUCUAGCAAGCUGCCGAAUCACAUGAACUAAAGAAAGAAAUUUAAUUGUGACUCACGGCACAUUACUGGUAUAUUCCCGACCACUUGCCGGCGAUGUCUUUCCUCUAGCAAGCAGCUAAAUCACAUGAAUGCAUUCACACAAAAUCAUACAAAAUCACGCAAGAUAGAAGCAAUAAUUGACUUUUGCAUGUGAAAAAAAAUCACUAUGUUCAAAGGAUGGUAGAAGCUGCUGAUUGUGAUUUGGGGUUUUUUGGGUUGAUAUUUAAAAUAUCCACGAAUAGACAAGGAGAAGAUGAAAAAAUGACGAAGAAGGGACACCGAGAUGAAAGUAGUGAAAACGGACGAAGAAGAAACGACUGAAGCGGAUGGAGAUGGAGAUGAAAUCAGUGGAAAACAGACUAUAGAAACAGAGUGUUUUGAGAGAUAGGGGAAGGUUGUAGAAUAACACUAUUUGGGCUUCAAGUUGGGCCUCAAAUUGAGGUUUUGG